rnacentral:miRNA from 1 species
GUUCCCUUCAAACACUUUACG